CCCUUAGACGUUCUGGGCCGCACGCGCGCUACACUGACCAGUGCAACAAGCCUCCGUCCUUGGCCGACAGGCCCGGGCAAUCUUUGAACGCUGGUCGUGAUGGGGAUAGACUUUUGCAAUUUUUGGUCUUCAACGAGGAAUUCCUAGUAAACGCAAGUCAUCAACUUGCAUUGAUUACGUCCCUGCCCUUUGUACACACCGCCCGUCGCACCUACCGAUUGAAUGGUCCGGUGAAGCCUCCGGAUUGGCGCGCACCUCGGUGCCGCCGAGAAGUUGGCUAAACCUUACCAUUUAGAGGAAGGUGAAGUCGUAACA
rnacentral:rRNA from 1 species